UUUUUAUGUGGCGAAUCAGUGGCCGCUAACACUAAUUAAAAGUAUAUAAAAAAAUCCACUCCUAUUAUUAAAUGAAAAAAAAUCACAGAUUGGUGUAGGUCUUCUUCUCCUUGCUCGUUGCUCUCUAAAACUUUUCCCACUCAAUUUCCUCUCUUAUCAAAUCUCUCGAAUCUAACUGCUCAAAUCACAAAUUGUGACCCAUCUGAUAGCAAAGCAAAAGCCCUAAUCAAAAAAUGUGACUCCAUCAGGUAUGUGCUCUAAUCUUAAACUCAAAUUCCUUUUCGGUGGUAUAUACAGUUAGCGAGAAUGAUAAUUUCAACGAUUUCACAUAGGAUUUUCACAGACUUCACCUAUAAUUUCUCUGACCCAGUUGAAAAACUAUAGGAACGAAAAGAAAUUCAUACAAUAACAAUCCAUGGUGAGGAGUCAGCGGGGAUUUUGGGUUUUCAGUCUGAUGCUCAACUUUUCUCGGCCUCCGAAAAAAAUUAGUAAACUAUUUUUUGAUCCGCUGUCUUGAUAACACUCUCCAAUCUCUCCCUAUCUCUUUCUCUAGCAAAAUCGAGUAGUAAUUCUGUAUUAAUCAUAAAAGUUGGGUUGUUCUUUUCUUGGUAGCAGAAGCACGAACAUUCGUAGUUUUUGGGUUUUUUUUUUUUUUUUUAUUUUUUUAGGGUUAUUGUUGUUUCAGUUUGUUCUGUUAGUAGAGAAAGGAACUAAGAGUAUUUGUAUUGGCGGAAAGAGGAGGAAUAAAAGUUCAGGUAGUGAUUGAGAGAACAUUGAAGGAAAUAUCAAAUGGUAAUUUUGUUCUUGACAUGAAGAAUAAAUGUGGUGUUGGAGGUAUUGAGGUUAUGUUUUUAGAAGAUAGAGCUACUGAAGAUUAGCCUAUCACCCCAUGAACCUUUUCUGUUGCCAGGUAAUCCAAACUAUUUGUUGACUAAUUCUUUGAUUGUCUAGCUUUCGCUUAACGUUGCUAUGGACUGUGUUAACUUUUCCUGCUAUACCCCAAAAGAAUAUGAUAGUGCUUCAUAUUUAAUUGUGCAAUAUUUAGUUAUCUAUAAACUAAAAUAGUGGGAUGUAAUGUGUAGUUGAAAAUAGUGUUAUUAUCCUCUUUUUUCUUUAGAUUAAGUUCUAUUCAGUUAGUUUCCUGCUCCAGGAGAACCAUUUAGUUAUCAUUGAUUUAUGCAGCUGGAUUUAUUAAUUAAUGGGUGUUUGGUUAUGAAAAUAAUUGAUUUAGUUUAUGUGAAGUUGUCAACUAUUAGUCCUUCUUGACAGUCAUCUUUAUAGAGUUGUGUUGAUAUAACUUUUUAUGGGAUUCACACUACAACAAAGGACUUGCCUUCCCUGUGGUGGAGAGAGAUGCUAUCACGCGACCUUCUACCUCAUAAUUCUUCAGGUCAAGAACUUGCCUUCUCUGUUUCAAGCCAAGAACUUCAGGUCAUUUCAUAAUUCUUGACUUAUAACCUUGAGUUCGUUCUUCCAUUUCCACUCAUAAUAAGACUGGUAAUAUUUUCUGUCAAAUAUCAGGAGAAGAAAUUAAUGCACAAUUUCUUUCAAUAUUAAGUUUCCUCGUAAGGAUACAUGGCUAUGUGGUUCUUCAGGUAGUCUUACCUCUCACUAUAGCAGUGAAAAUUUCACAUCAUGUUCAUUAUAUGAACUUAAAUGGAGUUGGUAUGAGGUUAGAGAUAGCAUGGUUAUAUUGUCCAUCACGUUAAUGGAAUUACCUUGUAGCAUGGCUAUAUGGUCAUAUAUGUUUAAUUUUCUCGUUCUCCUUUUUAUUUUAUCAUGUUUUUUCCUUUUUGUGCCCUCUAGAACAAAUGAUUUAAGCUCCCAUUUUUGUCAAUUGUACAUUUAAAAUCCUUUUACAGUAAGUCUAAGGGAAUACAAUUCCAUUAAAAUAUUACUUGACUAUUCUAUGUUAUUUCAUGAUGAGUCUACUUUGUCACCAGACCAAUGGGUGAUUUUAUGUCUAUGCUGCUAAAAUUCUGCUGAUAACGUAUUAUUCCAAUGCUCGGGAAAGAAAUAAAAAGUUAUCUUACAAGUUUCUUAUCGAUUAUUCCAUGUGCUGGAACUUUUUAUCCAAGUCAUUAUUGUUACUGAUGGAGAGCGAAUAUUACGACGUGGUAAUCUUGGUUGUCAGGUAAAUCUUUUAAAUUCUACUAGCUAUUAGAUUUGUUUUCUAAUAGUGUGUUAUUUGAACAAUUGGAUGGAACUAAUUAGAGAGACAAUACUGACUAUCUCUUACUUUACUUGUACACGGUACCAUGUUGAUAACAUACUUGACCGAAAGUUCCAAUGUAGUUUCAGGGAAUUAUUAUAGUGCUCUUGGAGGUGUUCGUCCCUCAUCCUGAUUAUGUUAGUAUUACUAGCAUUACCAUUUAUGUGUUUUCUUUUUUAUUUUCAUUCUUACUGUUAUUACUAAUCUCAUACAUUCUCUUUUUGAACAAAAGUAUCGAUAAGAGGCUCAACUUUUUUUCCAUUUCCCUUCUCUGCUAUCUCUUUCUUGGUCUUUAGAUUUUAUGCUAUAUUCCUAAUUAAAUCGGGGUAGUCUCUCAUCUAUCUCUUUCUCGGUCUUCAAGUUCUCAUUUUUUUAGCAACUUUUUGGUACCUUAAUCAUCACAGUAAUUUUUUGUUGAUUAGCUUAUUGAUCUUAAUAGAGUUGGGAUCGGCUGUGUUUAUUUACUUUGACAAAAAGCUAAAAAGAGGUGAAUGUUACGCCAACUGAUAAUUGUAGUACCAGUUGAUUCAUUUGUGUGUGGCCUUUAAUAGAUUAUUUGGAGUUUUGCUGAAUUGAGCUAAGAAUUUUCCAGAAUAAAGUUUAUUGUUCAAUCUAAAAUCAAUCUCCAGAUAAUAGGAGUCCCCAUCAGUUAUUUGUUUAAUGCUCUUUCAUUUCCCCCAUUUUGAUGGAAACUCUUGGCUCUGUUUCGAACCAGUUAUAAUUUUCAUUAUGUCUAUUUGUAUUGUCGAUUCUGUUUUGCACUUUUUUUUUAUGAUCAUAUUUAGUAAUUUAUAAACUUUAUGCAUAAUUAAAUAAGUUUAUUGACACUUGAAGCUUCAACCUAGGAAACUAUAUUGAGUUUUCUUUAAAUUCUCAUGCUUGUGGUAUUUGAGUUUGGUUUUCUAGCUGCUCCACUUUGACCCACUUGGGCAGUUUGAUAGUUUCAAAUUUCUGAGCUUAGUUCGCUUGGCAAAACUAUUUUGUACAACUUUCCUUGGUCAAACUUUUCCUUUGCUUUUUUAAAUGCGUUUUGCAAUCUUUUACUCCAAUCUAUUGGCCAUCCUUUUUUACUAUUAACAUUGAGAAUUGUCAAAGUGAUCUCUUGUUUGUUUUUCUUAAUAACAGGGGUGAGGCUCUUAAUCAAUCACAAUUGUUGUCGACCAUGGAGGAGUUUGAAGGCCCUAAAUCAUAGUUAUUAUUUUUCUUAUCAUAUGUAUAUGAAUACAAUGACAAUGAACGAUGAAGUAUUGUGUAAUACAAAUUAAUUGAUAUUUUGGUAAUGGAAGUAUAUAUAAUAUUCAGUUUGAGAAAUA
rnacentral:lncRNA from 1 species